AUUGAACGCUGGCGGCAGGCCUAACACAUGCAAGUCGAACGAGUGGCGGACGGGUGAGUAAUGUCUGGGAAACUGCCUGAUGGAGGGGGAUAACUACUGGAAACGGUAGCUAAUACCGCAUACCUUCACAUUUGCCCAGAUGGGAUUGGCUUGUUGGUGGGGUAACGGCUCACCAAGGCGACGAUCCCUAGCUGGUCUGAGAGGUUGACCGGCCACACGGGAACUGAGCAACGGUCCAGACUCCUACGGAAGGCAGCAGUGGGGAAUAUUGCACAAUGGGCGCAAGCCUGAUGCAGCCAUGCCGCGUGGAUGAUGAAGGCCUUCGGGUUGUAAAGUACUUUCAGCGGGGAGGCGUUACCCACAGAGGAAGCACCGGCUAACUCCGUGCCAGCAGCCGCGGUAAUAC
rnacentral:rRNA from 1 species